GUAAAAGUCGUAACAAGGUUUCCGUAGGUGAACCUGCGGAAGGAUCAUUACCGAGUUUUCGGGCUUCGGCUCGACUCUCCCACCCUUUGUGAACGUACCUCUGUUGCUUUGGCGGCUCCGGCCGCCAAAGGACCUCCAAACUCCAGUCAGUAAACGCAGACGUCUGAUAAACAAGUCAAUAAACUAAAACUUUCAACAACGGAUCUCUUGGUUCUGGCAUCGAUGGAGAACGCAGCGAAAUGCGAUAAGUAAUGUGAAUUGCAGAAUUCAGUGAAUCAUCGAAUCUUUGAACGCACAUUGCGCCCCUUGGUAUUCCGGGGGGCAUGCCUGUUCGAGCGUCAUUACAACCCUCAAGCUCUGCUUGGAAUUGGGCACCGUCCUCACUGCGGACGCGCCUCAAAGACCUCAGCGGUGGCUGUUCAGCCCUCAAGCGUAGUAGAAUCACCUCGCUUUGGAGUGGUUGGCGUCGCCCGCCGGACGAACCUUCUGAACUUUUCUCAAGGUUGACCUCGGAUCAGGUAUGGAUACCCGCUGAACUUAA
rnacentral:rRNA from 1 species